UGCUCUUCCGAGAUUGGAUCCGCUCUGAAAGAAGGAACUUUGGGCUAGCUGAAUCUAAACCAGAAAUAGAUGAGUGCUAUGAAGAAAUGCUAGCCGAACUUGCUCAGGAAGCAACUUCACCCGGAAGUGGAGAUGAACAAGUUUCAUUUCCACCACCGCCAACACAACCACCUCCAAACCUUGAAGGUUUUAUGAGAUUUGUUAGAAAUAAUGCAUAAAUUAUGAUGUAACUUGUACAUUGGCAAGUCUUCUUUUAGUUUUUUUUUCUUUUAAUGGUGGUAGUAGUACCAUGUUGUGCUCAUUCCGUUGGGG
rnacentral:lncRNA from 1 species